rnacentral:misc_RNA from 1 species
CAACAAUUAACUUCAUCAUCUUCUUCCAAAAGAAAUAAUGUCACAGGCAAAAGAAAACAUAGUAAUGUUCCCUUUCAUGGCACAAGGCCAUAUCAUUCCUUUCCUAGCAUUAGCCCUUCAAUUAGAACAAAUUAGAACAAACCAAGAAUUACACCAUCACUUUUGUUAACACCUCCCUAAACAUCAAGAAACUCAGAUCGUCACUCCCUGCUGACUCCUCCAUUCGCCUUGUCGAAAUCCCUUUUAACAGCUCCGACUAUGGCCUGCCUCCUCAUACUGAGAACACCGAUUCUAUUCCUUACCAUCUCGUACCCAACCUUUUUCAUGCUUCUCUCGCUCUCAAACCAUCAUUCAAGAAGCUCAUUGCUGAUCUUGUGAAGGAACAAAAUGGCCACCCACCACUUUGUAUCAUCACAGGCAUAUUCUUUGGCUGGUGUGCAGAGAUUGCCCAUCAGUUUGGAGUCUUUCAUGCUAUAUUUUUUGGGGGUGGUGGUUUUGGCUUUGCUUGUUACUACUCUCUGUGGUUAAACCUACCCCACCGGGAUAUAAAUUCUGAUGAAUUUACUUUACCAGAUUUUCCAGAAGUUGGUGCAAUUCAUGUCACACAGUUAGCAGAUCAUUUAAGAGAAGCCAAUGGUAGCGAUCCGUUCUCGGUUUUUCUGCAGCUGGUGCUUCCAGAAUGGUCCAAUGCUGAUGGGAUUUUGCUUAAUACAGUGGAGGAACUUGACAAACUUGGAUUGAUGUAUUUUAGGCGCGAAAUUUGCCGCCCAAUUUGGCCAAUUGGGCCAGUGCUCCUGUCCAAGAGAAGCCAAGAUCAAAUUGGAAUUACUUCUGAACUCUGCAAAAACUGGCUCAACACAAAACCUGUGAAUUCAGUUCUAUAUAUAUCAUUUGGUUCACAGAACACUAUAUCUGCAUCACAAAUGAUGGAGCUAGCCAUGGCAUUGGAGGCUAGCGGCAAAAACUUUAUCUGGGUUGUCAGGCCACCUAUUGGAUUUGACAUCAAUUUGGAAUUUAGAGCAAAAGAUUGGCUCCCUGAAGGAUUUGAAGAAAGAAUCAAAGAUUCAAAAAGAGGGUUACUGGUGCAUAAAUGGGCACCACAGCUGGAAAUUUUGUCUCACAAGUCUGUGUCAGCAUUUCUGAGUCAUUGUGGGUGGAAUUCAGUGCUCGAAUCUCUAAGCUAUGGUGU